AUGAACGCUGGCGGCGUGCUUAACACCUGCAAGUCGCACGAAGCACUUUAUUUGAUUUCCUUCGGGACUGAUUAUUUUGUGACUGAGUGGCGGACGGGUGAGUAACGCGUGGGUAACCUGCCUUGUACAGGGGGAUAACAGUUGGAAACGGCUGCUAAUACCGCAUAAGCGCACGGCAUCGCAUGAUGCAGUGUGAAAAACUCCGGUGGUAUAAGAUGGACCCGCGUUGGAUUAGCUAGUUGGUGAGGUAACGGCCCACCAAGGCGACGAUCCAUAGCCGACCUGAGAGGGUGACCGGCCACAUUGGGACUGAGACACGGCCCAAACUCCUACGGGAGGCAGCAGUGGGGAAUAUUGCACAAUGGGCGAAAGCCUGAUGCAGCGACGCCGCGUGAGCGAAGAAGUAUUUCGGUAUGUAAAGCUCUAUCAGCAGGGAAGAUAAUGACGGUACCUGACUAAGAAGCACCGGCUAAAUACGUG
rnacentral:rRNA from 1 species